GAUGAACGCUGGCGGCGUGCUUAACACAUGCAAGUCGAACGGAAAGGCCCUGCUUGCAGGGUACUCGAGUGGCGAACGGGUGAGUAACACGUGGGUGAUCUGCCCUGUACUUUGGGAUAAGCCUGGGAAACUGGGUCUAAUACCGAAUAUGACACUUGUUUGUAUGCGAUUGUGGAAAGCUUUUGCGGUUUGGGAUGAGCUCGCGGCCUAUCAGCUUGUUGGUGGGGUAAUGGCCUACCAAGGCGUCGACGGGUAGCCGGCCUGAGAGGGUGUACGGCCACAUUGGGACUGAGAGACGGCCCAGACUCCUACGGGAGGCAGCAAUGGGGAAUAUUGCACAAUAGGCGCAAGCCUGAUGCAGCGACGCCGCGUGGGGGAUGACGGCCUUCGGGUUGUAAACUCCUUUCGCAACCGACGAAGCCUUUUGGUGACGGUAGGUGGAGAAGAAGCACCGGCUAACUACGUG
rnacentral:rRNA from 1 species